CGGAGAGCUGGGCCACCUCUGCCGUGGCUGGGCCGAGACCCUCACCAAAGCUCUGGCCCACGUGGAGGCCUAUAUCGAUUUCGGCGAGGAUGACAACCUGGAGGAGGGGGUCCUGGAGCAAGCCGACAUCAAAGUACGGGCACUGGAGGUGGCCCUGGGUGCACAUCUACGAGAUGCCAGGCGCGGGCAGAGGCUCCGCUCAGGGGCGCACGUAGUGGUCACUGGACCCCCCAAUGCGGGCAAGAGCAGCCUAGUGAACCUGCUCAGUGAGUAGGCGGCGGGAAGGGGGCGGG
rnacentral:lncRNA from 1 species